rnacentral:rRNA from 1 species
UGCAGCCGAGCGGUAGAGAUUCUUCGGAAUCUUGAGAGCGGCGUACGGGUGCGGAACACGUGUGCAACCUGCCUUUAUCAGGGGGAUAGCCUUUCGAAAGGAAGAUUAAUACCCCAUAAUAUUUAGAAUGGCAUCAUUUUAAAUUGAAAACUCCGGUGGAUAGAGAUGGGCACGCGCAAGAUUAGAUAGUUGGUGAGGUAACGGCUCACCAAGUCUACGAUCUUUAGGGGGCCUGAGAGGGUGAUCCCCCACACUGGUACUGAGACACGGACCAGACUCCUACGGGAGGCAGCAGUGAGGAAUAUUGGACAAUGGGUGCGAGCCUGAUCCAGCCAUCCCGCGUGAAGGACGACGGCCCUAUGGGUUGUAAACUUCUUUUGUAUAGGGAUAAACCUAGAUACGUGUAUCUAGCUGAAGGUACUAUACGAAUAAGCACCGGCUAACUCCGUGCCAGCAGCCGCGGUAAUACGGAGGGUGCAAGCGUUAUCCGGAUUUAUUGGGUUUAAAGGGUCCGUAGGCGGAUCUGUAAGUCAGUGGUGAAAUCUCACAGCUUAACUGUGAAACUGCCAUUGAUACUGCAGGUCUUGAGUGUUGUUGAAGUAGCUGGAAUAAGUAGUGUAGCGGUGAAAUGCAUAGAUAUUACUUAGAACACCAAUUGCGAAGGCAGGUUACUAAGCAACAACUGACGCUGAUGGACGAAAGCGUGGGGAGCGAACAGGAUUAGAUACCCUGGUAGUCCACGCCGUAAACGAUGCUAACUCGUUUUUGGGCUUUCGGGUUCAGAGACUAAGCGAAAGUGAUAAGUUAGCCACCUGGGGAGUACGUUCGCAAGAAUGAAACUCAAAGGAAUUGACGGGGGCCCGCACAAGCGGUGGAUUAUGUGGUUUAAUUCGAUGAUACGCGAGGAACCUUACCAAGGCUUAAAUGGGAAAUGACAGGUUUAGAAAUAGACUUUUCUUCGGACAUUUUUCAAGGUGCUGCAUGGUUGUCGUCAGCUCGUGCCGUGAGGUGUUAGGUUAAGUCCUGCAACGAGCGCAACCCCUGUCACUAGUUGCCAUCAUUAAGUUGGGGACUCUAGUGAGACUGCCUACGCAAGUAGAGAGGAAGGUGGGGAUGACGUCAAAUCAUCACGGCCCUUACGCCUUGGGCCACACACGUAAUACAAUGGCCGGUACAGAGGGCAGCUACACAGCGAUGUGAUGCAAAUCUCGAAAGCCGGUCUCAGUUCGGAUUGGAGUCUGCAACUCGACUCUAUGAAGCUGGAAUCGCUAGUAAUCGCGCAUCAGCCAUGGCGCGGUGAAUACGUUCCCGGGCCUUGUACACACCGCCCGUCAAGCCAUGGAAGUCUGGGGUACCUGAUAGUCGGUGACCGUAAUAGGAGCUGCC